UCGAGAAUCUUCGGCAAUGGGCGAAAGCCUGACCGAGCAAUACCGCGUGCGGGAUGAAGGCCUUCGGGUUGUAAACCGCUGUCGUAGGGGAUGCUGAACCUAGGAGGAAGGGCCGGCUAAUCUCGUGCCAGCAGCCGCGGUAAUACGAGAGGCCCAAACGUUAUUCGGAUUUACUGGGCUUAAAGAGUUCGUAGGCGGUCCAGAAAGUGGGGUGUGAAAUCCCUCGGCUCAACCGAGGAACUGCAUUCCAAACUACUGGACUCGAGGGGGAUAGAGGUAAGCGGAACUGAUGGUGGAGCGGUGAAAUGCGUUGAUAUCAUCAGGAACACCGGAGGCGAAGGCGGCUUACUGGGUCCUUUCUGACGCUGAGGAACGAAAGCUAGGGGAGCAAACGGGAUUAGAUACCCUUGUAGU
rnacentral:rRNA from 1 species